UUGUGCACUUUCCCAAAUCCUUUCUGAUCAACUCCCCACCAUUCAUCACACAGAGCAAAAAUGCUUCUGUGGCUAAACUUGGUGUCCUUACUGGCAGUCCUCCACGGUGUCCAGUCUCAAGCCCAGUUGGUGGAGUCUGGAGGAGGUGUGAGAAGACCUGGGGAGUCCCUCCGUCUCUCCUGCCAAGCCUCUGGAUUCACCUUCAGCAGCUACUGGAUGGAUUGGGUGAGACAGGCUCCAGGGAAAGGCCUGGAAUGGCUUUGCCAUAUACAUCCAAGUUCCUCUAGUAUUUACUACUCAGACAAAGUGAAGGAACGCUUCACCGUCUCCAGGGACAAUGCCAAAAGCCAGCUGUAUCUGCAAAUGAACAAUCUGAAAGCUGAAGACACGGCAGCCUAUUACUGUGCUAGAGACACAGUGAGAGGAAGCGAAUCUGAAACCCAUCAAGAACUUUCUCUGCCUCUGAGCAGCUCCCCAAAUUGAUUCACACAAGUCUGUAUUUGAAUUUUAUUCAUGUUCUAUAUGAAUUGUGUCACUGUCUUCUGUUAUUGUUUGGAAAUUCCAUCCCUUUUGGCUCUUUGAUCAGUCCCACAACUUCCACACUGCAAAGCUAGAUUUUGAUUGAAUCCAAUAAUUUCCAAUAAUUAAAAAUGUUUCUCUUAACACUUAUCAUGACAACCCCCUAAUCUAUUUGCGUU